rnacentral:rRNA from 1 species
UGAGGAAUCUUGCGCAAUGGACGAAAGUCUGACGCAGCGACGCCGCGUGGAGGAUGAAGGUCUUCGGAUUGUAAACUUCUGUUAAGUGGGAAGAAAAACCUCUCUCUAAUACAGAGAGGCUAUGACGGUACCAUUAGAGAAAGCACCGGCUAACUUCGUGCCAGCAGCCGCGGUAAUACGAAGGGUGCUAACGUUAUUCGGAAUAAUUGGGCGUAAAGGGUGCGCAGGCUGUAUGUUAAGUCAACCGUUAAAGUCUCCGGCCUAACCGGGGGUCUGCGGUAGAUACUGGCAAACUAGAGUAUGGGAGAGAGAAGUGGAAUUCUCGGAGUAGCGGUAAAAUGCGUAGAUCUCGAGAGGAACACCGAUGGCGAAGGCAGCUUCUUGGCCCAUUACUGACGCUCAUGCACGAAAGCGUGGGGAGCAAACAGG